AAAUAUUAUUAUAAUCCUGUAUUUUUCUUUCUCCAUUUACAGUUUCAUCAUACACAAAGGCACGUUCAGGUUCGUUUAAAGCUCUUGAACAAAGUGAAAGGAAAAUUUGUCAACAGGGGGACAAGGCAGUCAAAGGCAUCACUGCAGCAAGCAAGAUUUAAACCUCCAUCAUGUCAUUGAUCCACCCCCAAAUGCCCUCUCCUGCGGGUUCCUCACGGCAAGGCAGAAUUUUUAUCAUCUUGCAGUUGCACUGAACCUUGCCAAAAGAAUCAGCAAAGGAAGGGUACAUGGAAAUCACUGUCCUUGCAUUUAGUGGUGCCUGUUCUGCAGUAACGCUGGAUCCGGCUGAGGGAACAUGAAGAAUUUAUGAAGACGCACACCCGUCUCGGUUGGCCCAACAGGGUUCGUGGUCUGCCAGCUGUGCACCUACUGCAGAGACGAAAAGUACCCUGCAGAGCUGGCAUGCCCUGUGUGACUCCAGAGCUCAAGAAAGGUGAGGGAGAAGGACUCACAGCAACUGGGAAGUUCCCACGGAUGAGACAGGCUGGUAAAUCUCUUCAGACUCCAAAGCACUGCAGAACGGAGCGCAGAAAUGGGAAACAAGUGCAGGAACAGCAGGACUCACGAUCUCCAGAUCAGCGCUUUGGAGCGAGGCCAUGGAUGGUUCCUUGUCUCCUGCAUCGCAACUCUGCAAGCAGUAAAGCUGCCACCAUGCAGUGCUGUGCCUGAAACAAGAAUCCAGUGAGCUGGAUGGGACAUGAGCAGGACACCUUGUCGAGAACAGACAUCAUAAAAAAAAAUACAGCACUAGAUCAGUUCAAAUUUCAGACACCCACACUUUCCUCAUGAACUGGAUGUUUCUGAGCAGAGUGCCUGAGCAUUGCUAAAGGCAAAGUUAAAUAAGAAAGUGGUGUUAUUACUCAAAUGAUGGGAGUACAUAUUCUCUCACCUCUUCUACAAUAGAGGGUUCUGCUAAAUAUACAAACUGAGAGGCUGAGGACCUGAUGAUUAUGAAAAGCUCCAGCUUUCUUUUCUCGUUCUUUCGCUUAACUCAAAAUUACCUGGAAGCAAGCAAAUUAUAGUUAUGUUAUUCGUGUCCAUGGACUUUCCUACCAAAGCUAUAUAUAUGUGCGUUCUCGCUGAAGUGUUUUUCAUACUCAACAACAUACAGAGUGAGGAACACUUUUAGAGUAAAGUCAGUAUUGUUCAAGUUUCUUCCAUGUGCCACAAAGGAAUUUUAUAUUUUUAUAGAAACUUUGAGCUAAUCUCCCACACAGUUCUAUAUCCCUACAAUAUAGGUGUUCUGCAUACCACAUUGUAGUUUUCAGUUUUUUUACUUCUGUGCAAUAAUGUAAACAUACAUGGAAACUAUAUUGAGAAUGCAGCCCACCUACCACAUGUUCCCCAGAACCAUACAGCUGAGCAGACUGUUCAAACUGCCUUGGAGGUGGACACAGCAUCAGUAGAUGACUUAAAAAAAGAAAGUGAAAGAACAAUAACAGCUGUUCUCAUAUUUUCUUGGGUAAUGCUAGCUCACUGAGAAGAACAAACAUGGCUGAUAGAAGGAGUAAAACUGAAAAUGAGGGCUAACAAAAAUGUGUUCAGGAGAGGGUCACAGACAGUGGUACUUCUCUUGAUGUCAGUUAUCUACAAAUCAUCUGUUCCUGUAGCUGGCUGAAGUUCUGAGAAAGCCUUGAUAAGAGUUGACAAGUUUGAGAAAUGGUCUGGAAAGAAACAAGGAGAUCAGAAGGAGUUCUCUGAACACAGGGGAGACCUGAAUGAAGUUAUAAAGUCCUCAAUAUUAUCACAGCUGGCUAAUAACACCAAAAGGUCAGAGCAAUAUAGUAAUUACUCAAACUUAGAAUAGCUUUUCCCAUUGGAAAAUAACAUCGACUUUAAGUCAUGAAUAAAACAUGCUGGCCCAAAUCUAAUACCUUAGGC
ensembl:lncRNA